rnacentral:rRNA from 1 species
UACGGGGGGAGCAAGCGUUGUUCGGAUUUACUGGGCGUAUAGGGCGCGUAGGCGGCCAGCGCAAGUCAGUUGUGAAAUCUCCGGGCUUAACUCGGAACGGUCAACUGAUACUGCGCGGCUAGAGUGCAGAAGGGGCAACUGGAAUUCUCGGUGUAGCGGUGAAAUGCGUAGAUAUCGAGAGGAACACCUGCGGCGAAGGCGGGUUGCUGGGCUGACACUGACGCUGAUGCGCGAAAGCCAGGGGAGCGAACGGG